rnacentral:rRNA from 1 species
AGCGAACGCUGGCGGCAUGCCUAACACAUGCAAGUCGCACGGGGGGGCUUCGGCCUCCCAGUGGCGGACGGGUGAGGAACGCGUAGGGACCUGUCGAGGGGUGGGGGAUAACCGCGGGAAACUGCGGCUAAUACCGCAUGACGCCGCGGCGUGACAGCCGGGGCCAAAGGCGAAAGCCGCCCGCCGAGGGGCCUGCGUCCGAUUAGCUGGUUGGCGGGGUAGCGGCCCACCAAGGCGUCGAUCGGUAGCUGGUCUGAGAGGGUGAUCAGCCACACCGGGACUGAGACACGGCCCGGACUCCUACGGGAGGCAGCAGUGGGGAAUAUUGGACAGUGGGCGCAAGCCUGAUCCAGCAAUGCCGCGGGGGUGAAGAAGGUCUUCGGAUUGUAAAGCCCUUUCGGCGGGGACGAUGGUGACGGUACCCGCAGAAGAAGCCCCGGCUAACUUCGUG